AUAUAUUCAGGUAUCCCUGGUUUCCUUAGUGCCACACUGUGUAUGGGGUGGUUCCAAAGUUCCCUGACAGCACAAUGGCUUUGUACCAUUGGUCAGAGGUGGCAGCCAUGGAAAACAAGAGCCUGAAACAUCUGAGUGAAUGCUGUCUUACAGGAGACUACCUUGUGGUGAUGCCUAAAGACUUCUAGCUUUUUCAUUUAUUUGUGGCUUUGUCAAUUUUUAAUAUAUAGUUGUAUAGUCUCUUGUACUUUUCCUGCACUUUCCCACAUUUUAGAAUAAUAAGAUUUCGUCACCCCUUGACACUGGUCAACUCUUCAAAGCAUCGCCUGACAAGGAGACAGAACAACAGCCUGAACAGAGGCAUCCUGCUGGGAAACAGCAGCACCUCCCGACACACAUCUGACACAGGUUUCUUCUAGCCCAUCACCGAGAGCAGCAGUCAUAGACCACGAUUAUUUUUAAAGUCUAAUUUGAUUUCACACAACAAUAUUCCACCUAUUCUCUUCA